CGGCGGACGGGUGAGUAACGCGUGGGUAACCUGCCUCACACAGGGGGAUAACAGUUAGAAAUGACUGCUAAUACCGCAUAAGCGCACGGUACCGCAUGGUACAGUGUGAAAAACUCCGGUGGUGUGAGAUGGAUCCGCGUCUGAUUAGGUAGUUGGUGAGGUAACGGCCCACCAAGCCGACGAUCAGUAGCCGACCUGAGAGGGUGACCGGCCACAUUGGGACUGAGACACGGCCCAA
rnacentral:rRNA from 1 species